UGCAAAUUGAAAUCGUAGAAGAAGAAUGCAGACGUGUUUAUUAUGAUCAGCGUCUGCAGCAUCCCGUUAUCACAAUCGCUCUCCGUCUGCGCCAACUUCAACAGGAACAAAAUAUUUUUUUCACAGAAAAGAGACAACUUUGACUUCAUGUUUUAACAACAACAACGACGAUGGCCGGCAGGGGCAGGCUGGUGUCCUGUCUGUGUCUGGGGCUGUUUGGUGUGCUCUGCUGGGUUUGGGUCUCCUUUGCCUCCCUACCUGAUGGUCAUCUUACUCUGGAGGACUUGGAUACAGUGGACCGAGGAGCCUUCUUGCCCCAGAGUGCUCUGUCUGAGAUGGAGUUUUCCUCCAUUAGUUCAUACAGGGGACCUGGUAAUACGGACCGCCGCAGCAACAAAGAGCUUCCCAUUAUCCUGUGGUGGAGCGGGGGGCUGUUCCCACAUUUCCCAGGAGACACUGAACGCAUCGACUGUGCCACAUCCUCCUGUCUGGCGACAAGUAAUCGCAAGGUCCAACUUUACAAGCGGACAGCAUCCAUCAUCUUUUACGGGACAGACUUCAGGGCAUACGAGGCACCGCUUCCUCGUCUCCGUCACCAGACAUGGGCACUGUUUCACGAAGAGUCGCCGAUGAACAACUACAUCCUCUCUCAUGGACCGGGAAUCAGACUGUUCAACUACACGGCCACCUUCCGCAGGGAGUCCGACUACCCUCUGUCCCUGCAGUGGCUGCCCUCUCUGGACUACCUGCUGCAGCCUACAUCGGUGUCCCUGCAGGAGAAGAACCGUCUGAGGAGGGAAGGACUGGCUCCUGUGUUGUACAUGCAGUCCCACUGUGAUGUACCGUCAGACAGAGACAGAUAUGUCCAGGAGCUCAUGAAGUACAUCCAGAUUGACUCUUAUGGAAAAUGCCUCAACAACAAGGCUCUACCUGAGCACCUGGAGGACACAGCCACCGCUACUGGCGAGGAACCCGGGUUCAUGAAUUUCGUAGCACGCUACAAGUUCCACCUGGCUCUGGAGAACGGCCUGUGUCCAGACUACAUGACGGAGAAGCUGUGGCGACCCCUCCAUCAGGGAUGUGUCCCCAUCUACAGAGGGUCUUCAGUGGUGGCAGACUGGAUGCCAAAUGACCACAGCGCCGUAAUCAUAGACGACUUUGCGUCGCCGAAAGCUCUCGCCGACUUCCUCAAACGCCUGGAUGAGAACGAUGAUGAAUAUGUGAAAUACCUAGAGUUCAAAAAUCCCAGACGUGUAACCAACGUACGUUUGCUGGAGGCUCUAGAGACCCGUGAGUGGGGGGUCAACGACAUGAGCAAACCAAACUACCUGAACGGGUUUGAAUGCUACGUGUGCGACAGAGAAAAUGCACGGCUGGCCGCGGAACGAGCGUACAGGAGAGCACCUAAAAAGAACAAACCACCUCAGCCCAGAAUGGCAGAUAACUCCCACCUGGGAUGCCCCCUGCCCAGUCCUGGAUUUGGAGACGUCCCCGAUUUACCUGCAAAUGAUGGAUGGCUUCAAACAUGGCCUCAGGAUUACUGGCACAGUUUGGACCAAGCAGAGGGGCUGGAGUCUCUAAUAAGACAUAACGAGUCGGAUCCUUCACUGCUCUGGAAGCACAUCCAAAACAUAGCUGUGAGCAGAGCCAGGGAUGCACGUUCUCAUUGGAUUGAAGCCGAGCCACAGACCCGUUCUCGGUACCAGGGGAGCUCUGCCUAACUGUGUGUGAAGACCAUCAAGGCUGCAGCCAAUGAACUCUAUUAGCUUCUUUUUUUUUUACAGUAACUCUGCAGGUAGCUGAUGGGUAUUAUUAGCUACAGUCACAUUUAUGUACACAGCAAUUUUUUUAGUGACUAUGCAAGGAGAAUAUUUCACCGGUGAGUGGAAAAAGGCCAAUGUAAAGUUAAGCACAACUCCCAGUGGGAAAUCAUGUCGUUCUCAGGAACAGCUCAGCUAAUAAAAGUCAGCGCUACACACUCCGUACUAAAUUGUUAAACUGUUUCCCCCUUUUUUUACUCAGUACAAUCAUUGUUUUUGUGCAAUCUUUGUCGUCGUGUUUUGUAUCUCAAGGGUUUUUUUUGUUUGUUUAUUUUGUUAACAAACCUCCAUACAUAUGAUCACACUAUUUUGUAUCAAGAAGAAAGUAAGUAAACAUUUUGUAACAAA